rnacentral:lncRNA from 1 species
GUGGGAGGCCAAAAGGAGGUCGCUUAUUGUAGGAGCUCGGUCGAAGAUCGAUUGUCGUGGGAGCUCGAAGUAACGACCUGGCCAGUGGAUCCUACCCCAUGGUAGAAGCUCAUCUGGGAUUCGGUUACGAAGAAGCUCGGCUGAAGUCUACCUGUAAUAGAAGUUCGGAAGAAAUUUAUUUACAAUAGAGGCUCGAAUGAAAUUUGCUUAU